rnacentral:rRNA from 1 species
UGGGGAAUAUUGCACAAUGGGCGCAAGCCUGAUGCAGCCAUGCCGCGUGUAUGAAGAAGGCCUUCGGGUUGUAAAGUACUUUCAGCGGGGAGGAAGGCGAUAAGGUUAAUAACCUUGUCGAUUGACGUUACCCGCAGAAGAAGCACCGGCUAACUCCGUGCUAGCAGCCGCGGUAAUACGGAGGGUGCAAGCGUUAAUCGGAAUUACUGGGCGUAAAGCGCACGCAGGCGGUCUGUCAAGUCGGAUGUGAAAUCCCCGGGCUCAACCUGGGAACUGCAUUCGAAACUGGCAGGCUAGAGUCUUGUAGAGGGGGGUAGAAUUCCAGGUGUAGCGGUGAAAUGCGUAGAGAUCUGGAGGAAUACCGGUGGCGAAGGCGGCCCCCUGGACAAAGACUGACGCUCAGGUGCGAAAGCGUGGGGAGCAAACA